UAGGGAAUCUUCCGCAAUGGACGCAAGUCUGACGGAGCAACGCCGCGUGAGUGAAGAAGGAUUUCGGUUCGUAAAACUCUGUUGUUAGAGAAGAACAGCGCAUAGAGUAACUGUUAUGCGUGUGACGGUAUCUAACCAGAAAGCCACGGCUAACUACGUGCCAGCAGCCGCGGUAAUACGUAGGUGGCAAGCGUUGUCCGGAUUUAUUGGGCGUAAAGCGAGCGCAGGCGGUUAGAAAAGUCUGAAGUUAAAGGCAGUGGCUCAACCAUUGUAGGCUUUGGAAACUGUUUAACUUGAGUGCAGAAGGGGAGAGUGGAAUUCCAUGUGUAGCGGUGAAAUGCGUAGAUAUAUGGAGGAACACCGGUGGCGAAAGCGGCUCUCUGGUCUGUAACUGACGCUGAGGCUCGAAAGCGUGGGGAGCGAACAGG
rnacentral:rRNA from 1 species